CAAAGUAAUGUAACGACAAAUAUUAUUGUGCACGAAAUUAUAUAGCACACCCCUUGUUCUAAUAUGAAUUUAUGAUAUGCAUUUUAUUUUACUUUUUGUACAUGUUUAGACACUGUCCCAACUUAAUUCUUCUUUUUUUUUGUUUUUUUUUAGGUGAAGUGUUGUCGCCGCUGCCAACUAAAUGACCCCAUGAAGACGGGGACACCAGUGUUACAUUCUAUUAAGGUGAAGGCUGCAUGGGAGGUGAUUGGCCUGGAUUUAAUUGGCCCACUGCGAGAAACUGGUCAAAAAAACAAGUAUGUGUUGACCAUGACUGAUUUAUAUACAAAGUGGGUUGUUGCUGAGCCACUGCAAAAUAAGACUGCAACUGAAGUGUCAGCAGCCACCAUAAAGACACUCUACUUGUUCGGCAUGGUCAAGAAAAUUAUUACUGACCAAGGGAGAGAGUUCGUUAAUGAGCUGAAUGAAAACAUCUUUGCAACUCUGAAAAUCAAACAUGCUGUCUCAAGUGCCUACCACCCUCAGACAAAUGGGCAGGUAAUUUUCAACAUAAUUUUAUUUGACAUUUCCCUGUAAUGUUAAAAAAAAUUAGGAAAUGUUUUAAUUGUUGUUGUUUUUUAUAUAUAUAUAGGAUGAGCGAACAAAUCAAAAUGUCAAACGUGUAUUGCGGAAGUAUGUAAAUGAAAGCCAUAAUGAUUGGGACAUCCAUUUACCUGCAGUUGUGUAUGGUAUUAACACUGCUAAGCAAGUGGGUAUUCAUUAUACAUUCAUUAUGGUCGAUAUAUAAUGUAAUCGAUAUAUAAUGUUUUAUUUCUGAUAACUUAAUUUGUUUUUAACCAGUCUUCAACCAGGCACACCCCGUAUUUCUUAUUCUUCCAUCGGCACCCUCAUUUGCCAGAGGUUAUGAACGCCUGUCCCAUGGGAGAAGACUUUAAAAUUGCUGACCCAGAAGAUGAUCUUGACACCCGAGUAAAUGAAAUGAAAAUUUUAAAUGAGAAGGUUAGGUCCAAAUUCAUGUAGUCUGACCACAGAAGUUUUUUUUAAUUCAAUGGCAUGUAGUAAAGUGUAAUUUUUUUUUUUUCAGGUGCUUAGCAACAUUGAAAAUGCGCAGAAAAGACAACAAAAGUCUUACAGGAACCGUAAGAGAAAGCUAAUGAGCACAAUCAGUCCUGGCGAUGAGGUCUUGAUUUCUCAAGAUUUCAAUAUAAAACAGAGAAAAGACACCCUUGCUGACCGCCACAAAGGUCCUUUCACUGUGGAUAGUAUCUCUAAAAAGGGUGUGGCAUCAGUGGUGAAAGAUAAUGGGACUCGAUGUUGCAUCAAUGUCUCACGGCUAAGGCCUUUCUACAGGUUGGAAAAUCAUGGAGCAGUUCCAUGUGUGUCACUUCAGGACCAUGAGUAUGGUACACCUGAUGAAGCAACAGACCAUCCUUAUGCUUUUUCUGGAGAGAAAUGGGAAAAAGACUUGGGUCCUCUCCAGGAAAAACUGUUGAAAUAUGUCCUGGACAAAAGCCUUCCAGCAGCAGAAUUGAUUGUUAAAGAUGACAAUAUCUGUCUUACACGUGAGGACUUGUGGAGUCUUGGGUUAAAUUAGUGCAUGGAGUCUACUAUUGGGAAUGCAUGUUUUAAGAUCAUCAGAGAAGCUGCUCAAAAACAUGGGAAAGAUGUUUACAUUGCUGACAUGUAUGUGGUUCCCACAUGGAAAACGAUGAAUGUGGACCCACUCUCAAGUUUACCGGUAAAGUGAAGUUAAACACACACACAGACAGACAGUUGCACAUUAAUGCAAUGAUUUCUGUACAAUGCACAGUAGUUGAAUGGUUGCAUUUUCUUUCUCUACACCAGAACAAUCUGUGUUCCAAGGAUGCGAUUUUGUUCCCUGCAUGGAGUAUGCAACAGAAUCAACUGGAUCACUAUUUGCUAUGUGUUGAGUUACAGUUUCAAAAAAUAGAUAUUCAGAUUUUUAGAAUGAAGUUUGUUGAUUAGCUUAUCAUUUUGAAAUAUGUCCAUUGCAGGUUUUACUGGUUGUGGAGAGAGAGAUCAUUUUUCUAGAUUCUGUACUCCCUGGUGGUUUUGGAGAUGACUCGUACAAAACGAUAUUUAGUUUAAGAGAGAGGAAAAAGUUGCCCUUGUUCAGUGGCUUUUACCAAUAAUAUUUUACGCAAGAGCCAUGUUCUGUGGCUGCUGAUUUACACAAAAGCCUUGUUCUAUGGCUGAUGAUUUACAAAAAGCCUUGUUCUAUGGCUGAUGAUUUACAAAAAGCCUUGUUCUAUGGCUGAAAAUUAACAAAAAGCCUUGUUCUAUGGCUAAUGAUUUACAAAAAGCCUUGUUCUAUGGCUGAUGAUUUACAAAAAGCCUUGUUCUAUGGCUGCUUAUUUAUAGCUUUGUUCUUUUGUUUUAUGUUUACGCAGAAGCCUUGUUCGAUGGCUGUAGGAUUAGGUCUCAUUUUAUGAAACUAGACCAUGGAGAACAAUUGUAUGACUAUAGGUUUCAGUAAGUGUGUGUCCAUAAUUAAUUUUUUUUUCCAUUUUAUGUGCAGACAUAUUGCAGGCCAGAUUGACCCAAGACCCUGGACAGAGAAGACCGGCAGAAGUUUUGAUGUAAAGCCUUUUCUUUAUUUUCUUACUGGGUUAUAUAAAACUCUGGACAUCAGUUGGCUUAAAUGUAAUGUAAGACUAUAGAUAUUUUCUUUUGAAGAGAAUUUUCUACUGUGAUUUUGGGAAACUGAGCCAUGACUAGCCCACCAGUUGAUACUUUUUGCUAUAUUCAUUCGUCUUCUUUCCACCAUACAUUCUUUCUUGUCCAGACCGAGAUUUUUUUUUUUGUAUCUGCACCAAUACCCCAUUUAUCUUCACAGAGGUCAGUUGCAUCUAUUAAUAUAGAAAAAAUAUUUCAAACCCCACCCCAAUCGUCUGAUCAUUGUUAUAUAUGUUUUAGAAUGAUGUGCCAUUAAUCCGCCAGUGGUGGUGCAUCCUACUGAUGGAAAGAUUUCAGAUUGAAGGACAUGGCCAGAGGUUUGCUUUCUGGACUGACAAGGCUAGCAGGCUAUUGCAAGGGACCCUUCAGCCACUUUUUAGGGUAUCUAGGUCAAUCACUUCAGACAUUCCACCUCAUGUGCAAACCAUGGUCAACCGCACAGCCCAAGAAAAGAAGCUGGUAGACUUUGCUGUACAAGACCAUGGAGUCCGGCAACAUUUGUUGGUAUGUUUGUCACACAUUAACAAUGUUUGUUAUUUACAAUUUGCACAUUGUUUUACCAUUACAGUGUUAUAAGCAAAUAAGCAAAAGGCCUUAUAAUUCAUGCUUGUUGUCACCAUGUGUUGGGGGACUUUUUUUUUUUUUUUUUUUUUUUUUUUUUUUUAAUGUGGAUUUACAGUCCAAAACUUUUAACAUAAACUACUUUUGACAUUCAACUAGAAAUGUUAAAUGUUUGCUCAUGUUUUGAUGAAGUGCUUUUGGCACUUUGCCUUUUGACCUAAGGGUGUACUCUGUGGAAAAGAGCCUUCGAAGUGGCUCAGCAGAAUCCAGAAGGGAUCAUCUCUACGGGUGCCAGUGUACCUGGACUCGGAGGAAGAACAGGACUCCCUAUUUUUCUAUCUUCAGGAUGUCCUGAAAUCUGCACCAGUAGAAUUCCACAUUGAGGAUCAAGUGCAGUUCAUUUUGGAUGUUUUGUUCCCAGAGGUAAGGUUACUAGGUAUGCAGUAAAUAUCUAUUAACAAUGUUAAAUAGCCUGUUGUGACUUAAGUUACAUAAAAAUUUUAAUCAAAUGUAUCUUUUUUUAAAAUCCAAUAGAGUAGUACUGUGAGACCAUGAUAACCACAAUACAUUUUCUCAGACAGUUAUUGGGUCAUUUUCAGCAGUGACACUAACGCUAAUGCUGGAGUUUUUAAACACCUCAGUUUCACUUGCUUGACCUGAAUAGUCCACCGGCGGUGGACAUCCAGUGAGCAUUGAUGAAGGACUAGAGUAUUGA